CUCCUCUAACUCAUGGUUAUCCCAAUAGCUGUUAUCAUACAAGAUUACAUACGAACAAUAGCACUUAUCUCACACAGAAUUAAAACAAAACUCCGAUGUUUGACGAAGUAUAUUAUUUUAGUUCCUUGAUAGUUCCAUACUACCAUACACUUAGCUAACAUGGUUUUAACACAAAACUUAGCUAAUGGUCAUAUUCUACCAAGUUCCCCAUCUCAGCAGUUCAAAACCAGCUAUAACCAAUGAACUUCAGAAGCAAGUAAAAUUACUAUUGAGCUAUACUAUCUUCACCAGAGGCAAGUUGACUAAUAUCUCCCGUUGAGCAUAUGACAUGUCAAUUAACUAAAAAAAACUGAAACUAAACUAAUCGAUUUGAAUGUGCAGAAAACAUAUUUGGAACUCCGGAUUUCAUUUCAUUGCAAUAUCAAAACUUGAGCGAGAUAAGUCCAGGGACAUGUACCUGAAAUAUGAAACGUGGGAAAUUAAAUGAAAAUCAGUAGCCGAGCAGUAUAGCAGUAGAAACUUCAACGACCAGUAGAGCCAAGUUGAGCAGAAAGUUAUGUGCAGCAGGCCCAGGAAAAAGUUUGAUCGAACAGUAAACUUUAACACGUCUAAACCGAACUUUCACAAACUCAUCUUUAUCUAUUUUUACUCCCCGACGAGUUAAAUGUUCUUUCAGAGAUUAGAAAUAUCAAAAAUGCAAAGUGAUCGAUGAAACAGUAAAACAGUAUAGCCCUUUUAAUUUUAGAUUGUUUCUCUUCAAUCUCUCUGUUUAUUCCUCUCCGUAUUCUCUCACUGUGUUUUUCAGUAUCUUCAGAGUCCAACCCCUUUUCUGUAUGAACUUAGUAUCUAUAUAUAGGCAUUCAACUCAGUGCAUUCCCCACUUUCAAUUCUACUUUUCAUUUCUUAACUAUCCACUAGCUUAGUGCUUUCUUAAUUAAUCCACUAAUGCAAUUUCUACCCUACCACUUAUUUAGAAGCUUCUCCAGUUAGGUGACAAUUAAAUAAUUCCCACUAUAAUCUUAAAGUUCCUUUUUUUAAAAAACUUGAUAUUCAUGGACCAAUCUGAACCCAAUUCAAAUUAUUUAAUACAAACAAAAUCUACCAGCAGACUGCUUAAGCUUUUAAUAUAGAAAAACGAAACAAUUUCAGCCUUUCAACGAAAAUUAUCAGGAAUCAAUUCAAGAACUAUUAUUAUACGAGUUUAAAAUACUGAGCAACAAAACAAAAACCAAAUGAAUUCAACAAACAACCUAUUAAUUCGACAAGAAUUAAACUAAAAACAAAAUCAUAGAACAACUGACCAAAUAACAUUCUAACAACAGAAAGGAGUAGAAGAAGAUAAUAAUAAAAGAAAAAUAGAGGAAAAAAAUUAAAACCAGGAAUACCUACCAAGAUUGAUUGAACACCGUCUCAAACUAGACCUUCAAUGAUCUUCGAAUUUGUGGCCGGAAUAGACCUUAAUCGAGUGUUCUCGACUGAGAACACACAACUAAGGUCGAUUUUGACCUUAAACCUUUAAACACAUAAUAAUUUGGAUUUUGGGAUUUAGGGUUCGUUUCUUUAAAUCCAGAUUCGAGGGAUUCCCGAGAUAUUCGAGGGAUAAAGUUCAUGGAUUCGGAAAGAGGGGAGUGAGGAGAUUCUAUGGUGUAAAGAUGGAGAAGAUUGGAUUAACUAGGGUUCGAGGGUCAAAUUUCGAUCGAAGAUUCGACGAUUUUAGUCGUGAUUCGAAAGGAACAGUUUGGGGAUUUGAGAUGAUGAGGCGAAGGAGAAUCAACGGUGUUAAUUUGGGGCUGUUUGGGCCAUCGGAACUGCCGUGAGGCGAUUUCCGGUGGGCAGGAGGCGGCGGUUCAUGGUGGCGUUCUAUUAGGUCUCUGAAGAGAUGGG
rnacentral:lncRNA from 1 species